GCGGAAGUGGCGGAAUUGGUAGACGCACCAGAUUUAGGUUCUGGCGCCGCAUGGUGUGAGAGUUCAAGUCUCUCCUUCCGCACCA
rnacentral:tRNA from 2 species